GCAUAGUAAAACAUAUCUGCAACAUUUAUCAAGUUCACGGAUAAUUGUGCGUGCAUUUAUUAAUCGUUAUGAUAGGCCUAAAAUCAUAAUAAAGGCUGUGUACAAAAAAUCAGAUGAGCCCAGAAUAUGAAUGCAACGCGUUUAAUUAGCCUACACAUUAAGCAUUUUCCUCCAAACCAGAACGCUUGGCCUGCGGACUUGAAUGUAUUUAAAAAAUACAUAGAAUAGUUUAUAAUUGUUCCUCAUGUUUCAUCUGUAAUCUGUGUAGGCUAUAUGAGGAAAUAUGUGCAUGCCUUAUGUAGGUUUUAAUCAAUGUUUUUGCAAAAAAAAAAAAAAAAAAAAAAACAAUCUACAGCACGUUUACCAUUUUUUAAAGCUAUAUUAUAUUAUUAGACUAUUAGCCUACAUGACUUAAAACAUUGUUUUAUAGUUUGACGAUGGCCACAGGCCUACUAUCCACUUAAUAAUGCAUCAAGUUUCAGCUGAUUGUCAAAUAAUUCACUCCAUCUAUUCAAUGCUGCGUAACUCUGCGUGUUUUAAUCAAUGGGCGCACGCGCUGAACAUUCGAGCCGCAUUUGAACUGGAGCAGACAACGUUACCAUGGAAACCGGGCGGUAGCUCAACUGACAACGAUCAGCACAGCUCCAUCUCUCGCUGUUGUUUUCACUACUUUCAGUAUUGUUAGCUCCAACCCCAAUUAAUCAGACCUGAGCAGCUGACUAAACAUCACCAGAAACUCUGCAGAACACUGGCCCUGGUCUGGUCUGGAUGCCACUGUUGCUAAAGCAUUUCAAGUAAAAACUUAAGUCGUGGCUUAAUAAUCCGGGGUUGGGAUGGUGGAAGGAGCAGAAGAACCAGAAGAUCGGAGAUCAGGAAGAUAUCUGUUGGUGCCUCUGAGGGAACUGAUUUAAUGU